rnacentral:lncRNA from 1 species
AGCAGGACGGGUAGGGUUUAUCGGCCUAAGGAUAAGCAUCCUUUGUGGUGUACUCUUAUCACGUGGUUCAUCCCAGACAUAGACAUACCCCUUUGAAGUAGAGAAACCAUAGUUAUCCUCUCUAUUCUGCUACCAUCACCCAUAUACUAGAUUGCUCUACUCUCUAUUCCCAUAUUAUCAUUCACUGUUAUCUUACCUUUAAUAUUGUUCUUAUUUGAUUCUACCAUCUUUCCUAUUUACACCUAUCUAUCUAUCUUGGUUAAGUUAGAGCGUAGUUGGUUCUCCCGUUUCCCUG